ensembl:lncRNA
CGAUAACUGAAGACCCCCUGCUCCCCAAAACGUCCACCCGCAGGAGGUGAGGGCAGGUGGCUCUUCUUCCCGGCAGAGUUGCCCCUGAGGUUCGCAGGCGCAGAAGGACAUCCUCACCCGCCAGAAGGGACAGACGGUAUGGAUGGUCAAAGUGGAACCUACCAAUGCGCUAAGCUCUUUCUCAGCAUCUUUAGUCUCACAGCAGCUCUGUCAGGAAGAAACCUCUUGAAAGGAUUCGACUCUCAGACCCUCAGAAGUCUUGAACGUGGGCCCUGAAAGCCAGCCCAGCUCCUGCACGUGCCCCGUGGUCAUGGUGCUCGGUGGGGUGGACCCUGCUUCCGAGUUGACUGGCCUGUGCCAGCCGUGGGCACUGGACCAGCCUGCUCAUCUCCACU